GCUUUGGGACCCUGCUUAAGAUCAGUCGGUAGAGCAUGAGACUCUUAAUCCCAGGGUUGUGGGGGGUCGAGCCUCACUUUGGGCCAAAGCU